UACGUAGGGGGCAAGCGUUGUCCGGAUUUAUUGGGCGUAAAGAGCGUGUAGGCGGCCAUGCAGGUCCGUUGUGAAAACUCGAGGCUCAACCUCGAGACGCCGAUGGAAACCGCAUGGCUAGAGUCCGGAAGAGGAGAGUGGAAUUCCUGGUGUAGCGGUGAAAUGCGCAGAUAUCAGGAAGAACACCCGUGGCUAAGGCGGCUCUCUAGUACGGUACUGACGCUGAGGCGCGAAGGCUAGGGGAGCGACCCGG
rnacentral:rRNA from 1 species